rnacentral:rRNA from 1 species
UACGAAGGGGGCUAGCGUUGUUCGGAUUUACUGGGCGUAAAGCGCGUGUAGGCGGACUUGUAAGUUGGGGGUGAAAUCCCGAGGCUCAACCUCGGAACUGCCUCCAAAACUACAAGUCUGGAGCAAGAUAGAGGCAAGUGGAAUUGCGAGUGUAGAGGUGAAAUUCGUAGAUAUUCGCAGGAACACCGGUGGCGAAGGCGGGUCUCUGGGCCGAUACUGACGCUGAGGAGCGAAAGCGUGGGGAGCGAACAGG